rnacentral:rRNA from 1 species
CAGUAGCCGCGGUAAUACGAAGGGGGCUAGCGUUGUUCGGAUUUACUGGGCGUAAAGCGCACGUAGGCGGACUUUUAAGUCAAGGGUGAAAUCCCGGGGCUCAACCCCGGAACUGCCUUUGAUACUGGAAGUCUUGAGUAUGGUAGAGGUGAGUGGAAUUCCGAGUGUAGAGGUGAAUUUCGUAGAUAUUCGGAGGAACACCAGUGGCGAAGGCGGCUCACUGGACCAUUACUGACGCUGAGGUGCGAAAGCGUGGGGAGCAAACAGGAUUAGAUACCCCGGUAGUCCCUGUCUCUUAUAC